rnacentral:rRNA from 1 species
AACGAACGCUGGCGGCAGGCUUAACACAUGCAAGUCGAGCGCCCCGCAAGGGGAGCGGCAGACGGGUGAGUAACGCGUGGGAACGUACCUUUUGGUUCGGAACAACUCCGGGAAACUGGAGCUAAUACCGGAUAAGCCCUAACGGGGAAAGAAUUAUCGCCGAAAGAUCGGCCCGCGUCUGAUUAGCUAGUUGGUGAGGUAACGGCUCACCAAGGCGACGAUCAGUAGCUGGUCUGAGAGGAUGAUCAGCCACACUGGGACUGAGACACGGCCCAGACUCCUACGGGAGGCAGCAGUGGGGAAUAUUGGACAAUGGGCGCAAGCCUGAUCCAGCCAUGCCGCGUGAGUGAUGAAGGCCUUAGGGUUGUAAAGCCCUUUUGUCCGGGAAGAUAAUGACUGUACCGGAAGAAUAAGCCCCGGCUAACUUCGUG